ensembl:lncRNA
GGAAUUAAAGCAUAGUCCUGGGUCUCCUCCAACUAUGUAUUUGAAUCUUCUGAAACUCUUGACAUUGUGUCUCUGCCUUAUAAAAUGAAUCACCACAGCUAGGGAUUCGUGGAGGAAGUAUUGAACUCUGGUCAAGAAACAACAGAAUGAAUUGGAGAGGAGGUGUACAGGGAGGUAGAACACAGAACAGCAGUCUGGAAAAGCUAAGUAGGCAAAGUCUGACAAGUAUCUAGAGGUGGGGUCAAGUCCUAAGGCUACGAUACUCUUUAUCCCUAGUGGGGUGCUUUGGUAGGCAGGUUGGUUUCACUUAAAGCGUCUAGUGUGUGAUAGAUGAUUUAAUGGCCAUUACUUUUUAUGCUAUGAAGGACAAACAAAUAUUUAAAUUGGCUAAACCAUAAAGGGAGUUUUGGGGAUCAAAUAAUUGAAAAAUGCAGACGUAUAGCUACAUCUGGAUAGCUCCAGCUAGGUCAUCAGUGCUUAUUUUAUCAUAUCUGCUCUCUUUUAUUUUGGCUUCAUCAUCAGCCUGACUCUUCUAAUGGUGGAAAAAUGGCUCUAAGGCUUGUUCUUCCACUACCAGGACCAGAAGAGAGGAGAAAACUGCUUCCUUGCAGAAACCACAGCAUGUCAGAGGCUCCAACUUCAUUAUGAACCCAUGUCUGAAUCAAUUAUUGUGGCCAGAGCCAUGGCCAGAUGACGUGCUGAUUGGUUCAGGCCAAUGGGACCUUACUUCUGGAAGCAGGUUUAACCUACCUUAAACAUAUUGGCUAAAACUGGCUGGGAAUUGAUUCACAAGAGUAAAGGAGUGGAAAGGUAAAUGUGAAGUGACCAAGGAAUGCCCACUCUACUUCAUCAAAGUAAUUAUUUCUUAUUUUGCAAGAAUGCAACUCACAGGCAGAAGUUAGUUUAAUUUACUGUUUUCCCUAAUUGAUGAUGGAGGCAAAAUGUAUAGCUGAGGAAGGACUCAAGGCAAAAUGCUUAAGUAAAACAGGUUUAAGACACCAGGAAAACAGUAUACCAACAUCACCUGAUUUGAAUGCUAGAUUUGAAAUGCUAGAUAUAAUUUAUUUUAAUUUCUUAUUGGCUACUUCAAAUCCUGUGACCACUUCUGGCCUGUACCCAAGAUUGUAUUCCAUUGUUCUAGAUUUAUUUUAGCUUCCGGGAAAGAAUCAUUGGCCUAAAUACUUCAUUUUCCAAGCAACCCCAACAGCAAUGAUAUUUGGCAUAGUUUUGCAUGUUGGCUUUGUUUCAAACCAUCAGCCUUCCAUCCACGCGUUUUGUCUAUAAAGGCAAAAUCACAGUUUCUGCCCUCUAAAUUUUUAUGAAGCUUCUCAUCUUUGGGGAUAUUAUAUUCAAAGUUGCCAGAUGUGCAAAUACAGCCUCAGGCUGAUUCCGUGGCCCUAUUAUAAUUGGACUUCCUAUUUUGACAUCUCUCUGCUCCCACAAAGAGGAAAAGGUAGCAUCUUGAAGUGAAUUCACUGUAACCAUUUGGAAUGAAACUUUCCAGGUGCAGCAACUGACAACUGUAACUUAGAGAAAAUGACAGGAUUUGCAGCUUGGAACGUCACCUCAUGAAUCCGCCAUCCCACUUUUGAUGACAUCCUAGGAGAAUGCUUUGCCAAAUUUAUGUUUAAAGAUGGAAAGAGUGUUCCUGGAGCUCCAAACUAGUGAUGUCCUUGGUAAAAGGACAAAGUUGUUAAGGGAAUCCUCUGCAAGCAAACUUGACAGCCCCUGAAUGAACCCUUGGAAAGUGCAAGACCACCAGAAUAUCAGGUCAUAGUGAGUCAUAAAUGGGCAAUCUGUUGUGCGGAUUGAGGCUAUGCAUUGUGGAGCCACUUGAAAGUGGAUGUGAAUCCUGGCCCUGCCACAUUCCAUCUGUAAGAGUGGACAAGUCAUUUAACCUCUCUACACCCCAAAUUCCUUAACUGUAAGUGGUAGUGAAGACAACCACACCAACUGUUAUUGUAGAGUUGUUUGAGAUAAUGUGUGUAAGGAACUGGUGCAGAGUUGGUUCAUAGCACAUGAAUGCUAUUCAUGGUAUCAUCUUUCAGAAUUCUGCCACACAUGGGAAAGAAGGGGAAAAAGAGGGAAACAGCAAGCCUAAGAAACGUGACAUUUGAAGCUUUGGAAGCAUGUUAUGAUCCACAAAGCAAUGUGAAACACAAAGUGAUACAGGGGAAAUGAGACAGGUAAACUUGGAUGCUUAAAAGGCAAGAUAAGGCUUUUAAUACAAAUACAAAUAUGUAUAGGAAAAUCAUGUAUAAAAGGCACAGAACCACACAAUUAUUACCAAGAGUGUUAUUUUGGAGUCCAAUUAUAAAGAGAGCAGGUCAACAACAGCAAC